rnacentral:rRNA from 1 species
UACGUAGGGUGCGAGCGUUGCCCGGAUUUAUUGGGCGUAAAGGGCGCGUAGGCGGCUCGGCACGUCCGUUGUGAAAUCGCCCCGGCUCAACUGGGCGGGGUCAGCGGAUACGGUCGAGCUUGAGCAAGCUAGGGGGUAAUGGAAUUCCCGGUGUAGUGGUGGAAUGCGUAGAUAUCGGGAGGAACACCAGUGGCGAAGGCGGUUACCUGGGGCUUUGCUGACGCUGAUGCGCGAAAGCGUGGGGAGCGAGUCCGG